AUUUUUGUUUCCCUCCAACCCAAAUUCUCAAUUCCUUUUCACUCUCGUAUCCUUCCCACACAGUACUCACAGAACUCAAAACCAUAGUCUUUCGUUUCACUACAACACUCCAAAACCCCCAGACCAAAAAUAUCUCUUUAACCAAACCACAACAACAGACACUUCUUUCUUCUUCUAACUUUUUUGCACCGAAACUGAAACCGCCUUUCGCAAAAUUUCCCAAUUUCUCGAAAUCCUAACCCUAUGGAACUCUCGCGCCUCUUGGUUUCCGACACGUUACUCUUCUCCCCUCCGAUUCGCUACUCCCCUUCGCCGGCGCUGUCCACGUUCUUCGCCGUCAAGAACCGCCGGUGCAGGAGGAGGAGCAGCUUCUGUUCCGCCUCCAACCCCGACACCUUAACCGCCGGUGGUGGCGCCGUCGUCGUCGGCGCCGGCGAGAAGCACGAGGAGGAUUUGAAAUCUUGGAUGCACAAACACGGCCUCCCUCCGUGCAAGGUUGUUCUGAAGGAUAAACCUUGCCCCAAUGAUUCUCAUAAGCCUAUACAUUACGUCGCAGCAAGUCAAGAUCUUCAGGUUGGUGAUGUUGCAUUCUCCGUUCCUAAUUCCUUGGUGGUUACGCUGGAGAGGGUCUUGGGAAACGAGACUGUUGCUGAGUUAUUGACUACUAAUAAAUUGUCCGAAUUGGCGUGCUUGGCAUUGUAUCUGAUGUAUGAGAAAAAACAGGGGAAGAAGUCUUUCUGGUAUCCGUACAUCAGGGAGCUUGAUCGUCAACGAGGUAGGGGCCAGCUGUCAGUGGAAUCACCUCUUCUAUGGUCAAAAUCUGAGCUGGAUUACCUGUCCGGAAGUCCAAUUAAGGAUGAAGUUAUUCAAAGGGAAGAAGCAAUAAGAAAAGAGUAUAAAGAACUUGACACAGUCUGGUUUAUGGCAGGUUCUCUAUUUCAGCAAUAUCCAUAUGACAUUCCUACUGAAGCCUUUUCAUUUGAGAUUUUCAAACAAGCCUUUGCUGCUAUUCAGUCUUGUGUGGUGCAUUUACAGAAAGUUAGUUUAGCUCGGAGAUUUGCUUUAGUUCCCCUGGGACCUCCUUUACUGUCCUACCAAAGCAACUGCAAGGCAAUGUUAACUGCUGUUGAUGGCGCUGUUGAGCUCGCGGUUGAUCGCCCGUAUAAAGCUGGGGACCCAAUUGUUGUGUGGUGUGGCCCUCAACCUAACUCAAAGUUGCUUAUAAACUAUGGUUUUGUUGAUGAAAAUAAUUCCAAUGAUCGUCUUAUAGUUGAGGCAGCUUUAAAUACUGAAGAUCCACAAUAUCAAGAUAAAAGAAUGGUGGCUCAAAGAAAUGGAAAGUUAUCAGUUCAAGUUUUUCAUGUAUAUGCUGGGAAGGAGAGGGAAGCUGUCUUAGAUAUGCUUCGUUAUAUGCGUUUGGGCUAUGUUUCAGAUCCUUCUGAGAUGCAGUCUGUCAUCUCCUCUCAAGGUCCAGUUUGUCCUGUAAGCCCUUGUAUGGAACGGGCUGCAUUGGAUCAGUUGGCUGAUUAUUUCAAGGCACGGCUGGCUGGCUACCCUACAAUAUUGGCUGAAGAUGAAUCUAUGCUGACAGAUGGUGGUAAUCUGAAUCCUAAGAAGCGAGUUGCUACCCAAUAUGUUAGGCUGGAAAAGAAAAUGCUUCAUGCCUGUUUGCAGGCAACCAUUGAUUUCAUUAACCAGCUUCCAGACCACACCAUAUCUCCAUGCCCUGCUCCCUAUGCACCUUUAUUGAAAUGAAAGGAACUGGAUGUGUAUGCAGUCUGAACUGUACAAAUAUGGAUUUGAUGAACCAGGUCAGUCAAAUUAUAUAUUCUUGAUAUGCAUCCUAUUAGAAAUCCCCUGAAUUAAGGUCAAUUACAAAUGCAUAUAGUUGAAUCAUGACUCACUAAACAAUGAUGCAAGAGUUCCGGAUUUAAAAGGUUAUGGGUCUGCUUUCCCCCCUGAAGAUAAAAUUUCAAUCCGAGUGUUUUCUGCGAUGCCCCCUUCAAGUAGGCGUGUUGGUUCAUUCCCUAGGUAGGAGGAAAGGAACCAUCAUUUGAGCAAAUUUUUGUAUGUCUUACUGUAGUUGUACCGAUGAUUCUAAGUUUGAGUGUUGGAAUGAUACUCAUCUUUGUAAAUGGAAACCUGAAUCACAAAUUCUAAUUCAAUUGUGUAUAUAUAGUUCCAUGGAUUAUAUAGAUCCCUUUAUUUUUUUGUAAUUUUGUUCGUCAACCCAUCUGAUUGUAGUUGACUUAAAAGAUUGAUGGAAAAAUGUUGAAUGUCACAAGUUAUUUUAUUGUA